rnacentral:rRNA from 1 species
AUUGAACGCUGGCGGCAGGCCUAACACAUGCAAGUCGAGCGAGCGGCGGACGGGUGAGUAAUGUCUGGGAAACUGCCUGCUGGAGGGGGAUAACUACUGGAAACGGUAGCUAAUACCGCAUACCAUCAGAUGUGCCCAGAUGGGAUGAGCUAGUAGGUGGGGUAACGGCCCACCUAGGCGACGAUCCCUAGCUGGUCUGAGAGGAUGACCAGCCAGACUGGAACUGAGACACGGUCCAGACUCCUACGGGAGGCAGCAGUGGGGAAGAUUGCACAAUGGGCGCAAGCCUGAGGCAGCCAUGCCGCGUGAGUGAAGAAGGCCUUCGGGUUGUAAAGCACUUUCAGCGGGGAGGCGUGACCCGCAGAAGAAGCACCGGCUAACUCCGUGCCAGCAGCCGCGGUAAUUC